rnacentral:rRNA from 1 species
UGGAGGCAAUCUUGAAAUACCACCCUUGUAUGUUUGAUGUUCUAACUUGGUUCCCUAAUCGGGAAUGAGGACAGUGCCUGGUGGGUAGUUUGACUGGGGCGGUCUCCUCCCAAAGAGUAACGGAGGAGCACGAAGGUGGGCUAAUCACGGUUGGACAUCGUGAGGUUAGUGCAAUGGCAUAAGCCCGCUUGACUGCGAGAAUGACAAUUCGAGCAGGUGCGAAAGCAGGUCAUAGUGAUCCGGUGGUUCUGAAUGGAAGGGCCAUCGCUCAACGGAUAAAAGGUACUCCGGGGAUAACAGGCUGAUACCGCCCAAGAGUUCAUAUCGACGGCGGUGUUUGGCACCUCGAUGUCGGCUCAUCACAUCCUGGGGCUGAAGUCGGUCCCAAGGGUAUGGCUGUUCGCCAUUUAAAGUGGUACGCGAGCUGGGUUUAGAACGUCGUGAGACAGUUCGGUCCCUAUCUGCCGUGGGCGUUGGAAGAUUGAAGGGGGCUGCUCCUAGUACGAGAGGACCGGAGUGGACGAACCUCUGGUGUUCGGGUUGUGUCGCCAGACGCAUUGCCCGGUAGCUAAGUUCGGAAUCGAUAACCGCUGAAAGCAUCUAAGCGGGAAGCGAGCCCUGAGAUGAGUCUUCCCUGGCGCUUAAAGCGUCCUAAAGGGUUGUUCGAGACUAGAACGUUGAUAGGCAGGGUGUGUAAGCGUUGUGAGGCGUUGAGCUAACCUGUACUAAUUGCCCGUGAGGCUUAACCAUACAACACCC